AGUGAACGCUGGCGGUAGGCCUAACACAUGCAAGUCGAACGGCAGCACAGUAAGAGCUUGCUCUUACGGGUGGCGAGUGGCGGACGGGUGAGGAAUACAUCGGAAUCUACUUUUUCGUGGGGGAUAACGUAGGGAAACUUACGCUAAUACCGCAUACGACCUACGGGUGAAAGCAGGGGAUCUUCGGACCUUGCGCGAUUGAAUGAGCCGAUGUCGGAUUAGCUAGUUGGCGGGGUAAAGGCCCACCAAGGCGACGAUCCGUAGCUGGUCUGAGAGGAUGAUCAGCCACACUGGAACUGAGACACGGUCCAGACUCCUACGGUAGGCAGCAGUGUGGAAUAUUGGACAAUGGGCGCAAGCCUGAUCCAGCCAUACCGCGUGGGUGAAGAAGGCCUUCGGGUUGUAAAGCCCUUUUGUUGGGAAAGAAAAGCAGCAGGUUAAUACCCCGCUGUUCUGACGGUACCCAAAGAAUAAGCACCGGCUAACUUCGUG
rnacentral:rRNA from 1 species